rnacentral:rRNA from 1 species
UAGGGAAUCUUCCACAAUGGACGAAAGUCUGAUGGAGCAACGCCGCGUGAGCGAUGAAGGCCUUCGGGUCGUAAAGCUCUGUUGUUAGGGAAGAACAAGUAUCGGAGUAACUGCCGGUACCUUGACGGUACCUAACCAGAAAGCCACGGCUAACUACGUGCCAGCAGCCGCGGUAAUA